AUGAAAAGCAAUAUAGCUGAAUGCUUCAAUAGAGUGCUCAAGGGUGUGCGUGCAUUACCCGUGACGGUAAUAGUUCAAUACCCAUUUGACAAGAUUAAUUCAUACCUUCUAAAGUACUCAAUGGAAAUGGAUGCGAAGAUUGCGGGUGAGAACAGACACAAGUACAAGUUCCCACCCAAGGGUGAUGAAUGGUUGGAAUUUCAAUCAUGGAAGGCGGACUCCCAAGAAGCUAUACUAUAUAACAAUGACGAUUGGUUGUACGAAGUGAAAGAGCCAGAAGGAACCACAAACGAUGGCCGCCAACAUGGAGGUCGGGAUUUCAAGGUCUCCUUAACACGGUGUGAUUGCUCUUGUGGGAGGCCAUUGUUGCUUCUUCUCCCAUGCUCACACUUGUAUACCGCAGCUCGCGUUAGGAAUGUGGACGUCAAGCACCCGCUCACCAUGAGGGAGUACGAGUUCUCAAUCAUGACGGUCAAGAAUACAUGGGCCCCCUGAUUUCACCCAUACUUUGACCAAUCUUAAUGGCCGGAGUACCAUGCAGUUCAACUAUGGCCUGAUCCGGAUUUGAAGGUGGUUAAACAGGGAAGACGUAAGACAAAGCGUCUAAGAGGUGACAUGGACGAAUGGGGCCAUGGUGGCGGCCGCGAAUCAAGCAACAGCCAAUUCCAAGAGCCUCGUGAGAGCUCCCGUUGUGGGGAAUGCAAAGGUCAGGGACACAACAAAAGAAAAUGUACCAAACCAAGAAAGAGGUCAAAGAAAAAUGAUGCAAGCACAAGCCAACAAGGAGGUACACAAGGUCCUAUCCAAGCAAAUAGUACUCAACAAGGGCCAAGCCAAGAAAGUGGUAGCCAACCAAGUGGUAGCCAACAAGUGCCAAACCAACCAGGUAGUAGCCAACAAGGGGCAGGCCAAAGAGGAAAUAGGCAACAAAGAGGGAGGCAACUAGGACUUACAAGAGGACGUGGUGGUGGUAGAGGCCAUGGUGGUGGUAGAGCCCGUGGUGGUCGUCUAGGCCUUGGCGAUGCUCUAGGCCGUUGUGGUGGUCUAGGCCAUGGAGGUGCUCUAGGCAGUGGUGGUCGUCUUGGCCUUGGUGGUGAUCUUGGCCUGGUGGUGGUCUUGGGCAAGGUCGUUAUAGAGGAAUGUUUGGAUACCUAG
rnacentral:rRNA from 1 species